rnacentral:lncRNA from 1 species
AACAGUGGAACUCCACAUACAGUUGAGAAACUGCAAGGAACACAAAAGACUCAAACAACAGAGUUCGAGGGUCUACUUGCUAACUCUGGGACCUAUGGCAAAACCCAAAUGAACCACCAACUGUAAUGGUCUAUUUUCUUGAGCUCAGAGCAACUAUGUGAACUCAGAAAGAAAUUAUAGGCUUUAAAUGAUCCUUAAUACCCUGCAUUUCAGUGUUACCUACAUACGCCACCUCAGAGGAUAGCAUUUCUGUAGUAGCCGUGGUAUGACACACUGCCAAGAUUAAUAGGCCUAUCCAGGGGAAGCUCCCAGGACAAUGACAAGAUACAAGUAUUUAAGCAAGAUUUCUUUAAAAUAUCCUUAAACUGCUUACACAUAUGGUAUAGGAAAAAGAUGGAACUUGCAACUGGCAAUCCUGAGUUCUAGCCCCUGUCCUGUUACAGAUGGGAUAGUGAUCUUGAGCCUGUUAACAACACUGACAGGAGCAACAGCAGUAAUAACUAACUGUCAAAUAACAGUACCAUACCUUAUACAACUGCUGUGUGGAUUUAAUUUUACAUUGCAAUACAAUGUCAAUUAUUACUGAUUUUUUUCCUCAAGAAAAAGGUAAUUCUUAUUUUUUAUUUUUUUGAGACAGGGUCUCACUCUGUCAUCCAGGCUGGAGCGGUGCCAUCACAGCUCACUGCAGCCUGGACCUCCCAGACUCAAGUGAUCCUCCCACCACAGCCUCCCAAGUAGCCAGGACUACAGGUGAGUGCUCUGCUAAGCUCUGCAACAAGUUCCAAGCUAGUAGUGGCCAGCUACUCAGCUUUCUCAGGAAACUCACCUUCUCUCCUUGGAGUGAUGGGACUGAGUCCCGCAAACUGUGAAAGCUGUCUUUGAUGUGGUCCCUACGUUUUCGUUCCAGUGCAUUAUGAUGAGCCCGUUUGUCAGCCUAGAAGAAUGGGAGAAAGAACACAUUAGGAAUGUCACUCCUUUUGCUUGGUACAAGGUGGGUGGGGUACAGCCUGGAAGUACACGCUGUCAGCACUGUCCCUGGCGAGUGGACUGGGAAGGAUUUCUCGAGGUGGGCAGUUAGGAGUCUCCAGAAUUAGGCUCUGCUAAAGGGGGAGAAAGGGGUGAGCAACGCUUGCGACAGGAACAUCCAAAGUAGCUCGAUGCAUCCAGCUCAUGCAUAAGUAAAAUAAAAGUUAUUCAGGGGGACAAAGUGUGACUCUCCUGUAACAUCAGUGGUCCCCCCCAACUUGCUUAUGUGACAGAAGAGCCACCAGUCUGUGGUUAGGAAGUGACUAGAGAAAGCUCCAGUGGCCCCUUCUUAAGAUGUGAUCACCUCCACUGUAAGAGAUUCCCCAGAUGGGUGUCCAGGGGAAGAAAGAGUUAAGUCACUGGUGCUUCUUUAAUGUGAAACCAUCACCAUGAGUCCCAAGCCCACUAAAAGGCACUAGUUUAAGACCUUCUCACCAAAUCAUACAACAGAAGCUAAAACCUCUAUAAAACCUAGAUGCAUGAAUCUGAGAUCAUUAUGACAGAGCUGAUAAGAUGACAACUGAAUUCUGAGUUCCUAUUUUUUAAAAGUAGAUCCAAGGUGCUAUCCUGCCAAGGGCUUCCUUGCACACAGGCAGUGCCUGACAGGCAGUUCUUAGAGGGCACAACUUCUGACACCACAUACUCAGAAUAAAUUCUCUCAGGUACCUGUGGCAGGUCAGGCUAACUGGCAGUAUCUAAAUAUCCAAGUCAAAGCCUUAGCCUGCUUGGAAUCACAAAGAACGGUCAGCUGGAGAUGGACCAAAACUGCCAACACCAAAUCAGGAAUGGCAAAAUGCUCUGGCUUCAGGCAGAAGAGAUAGCGCUGGAGAGCAUGAUAAGAGCACUUCAGCAGGUCCCCAUCAGAGGGGUCUCCCCUCCAAAUGGAACACAAACAACCCAAAGCAAGAAGAACUUCAUCACACCUACACUCUAGGAAUUACGGAAAUUAUGCUCUGAACAUUCACCUUGAAUGCACAACGUUGCACUGAGCUAAUCUAGAGAGCCAGUCUGUACAUGGGAAGUUCAGGUAGCUUAAAUCUAUACAAACAGAGGGCCAGAAAUUCAAAAAAUGGAACAAGAGUAAAUAACUUGGCUUAGCACAAGAAUAAUGCUGCCUCACAUUAAUCCUUGUACUAGAGAAGAUGUACAGACAAAAAUCUAUCAAGAGUUGUGAAAACGAAAGGACUUGAAAUUCUCCUGUUAUUUAAUCCUAAAAGUCCCAGUCAUUACAGAGGAAGAGGAGACUGGGAGCACCUGUAGUCAUCUGAGUUACUUCCUGGUCUCUUAAACAUAAUACCUCACCUACAGCUCUGUUGAACUGGACAUGUGGUUCCCAUGACAACCAUGGUUCUCCAUAGCAUAUCUCUCUUUUUGGGGCAGAUGCCUGGAGCACUUCUAAAGUUGUCCUAAUCUUGUUAAGUCUGGAUUCACUGUAAAAUGAAUGUUUACUGAACUAUAGUGACAUGAAAUAUGAAGCUGAGAGGACAGUCAAGUUUGGAACACCACAUAACCUGAGGGUAGAGGUAGGUACUCUGUAUCAUACAACUUUAGCGCAAAAUUAUAGAUGCCUUCUAACAGUAGCAUGAAAUAGUGCGACAGAAUUGAACCUAUUUAAGUAUCUAGUCCUUUUGAACUUACUGUUGUUCCCUCUGAUCAUCUACAUAAAGAUAAGUUGGGCUGCGACUAUACCUAAGGAGCUUAAAGGCCAAGAGACAAUAUUUGGCAUGUGUCUGCGGCUCCUGUUUGCUAUAUACUACCUAAGGUGGUUUAUUUACAUGCAAAUUAAUUGCCCAUCUUUGGUCUCCAGAGCAGCCCAAGAUACUCCUGUCUACUAAAUCACCCUGAUUCUUGGCCCUCCUCCCAGCUAAGAGCUGUGCACCAGAAUUACCCACAAUCCCUCUUGUUGAUACAAAUAAAAUUCUAAUUGUCUGUUUUCUUUCUGGGAGAGCCCUGCAAAUCUCAAACAGCUAGAAUGAAGUUGCACUUGGUUUCACGUGGACCUGCACUAAAGGGGUGGAGCUAAGUAUAAUCUAACACCAAAAUCAUCCCCACAAUGCACUACCCCCUCCCAUUCACUGAGCUCUGAAAGGACUCAAAUGGACAAGUCUCUCGGUUGGAGGAUUGUAAGUGAACUUGGCUGUAGAUCAUGAGCAGAAAUCUUGGCUUCUCAUCUGGGGAGCCAGCCAAGUUUGAGAAGUUGGCUCAACAAGGAAAGGCAGCAGUCCACUGCCUGGUAGAAAGCCUGGGCUGGGGACUGUUGUUCUCAAAGUAGUGGAUGGAAUUUCUGUAGUGGUUCCAGGCCCAAUUUAACUAGCAGAAGAGUGGAAUCUUACACCAAUCCCUGCUGCCAUGUCCAUCCCUGAGCUACUAGUGGAGUCAAUUUUAAAUCUCUCAGAGACAAUGGCAAGGAUGUAUUUUUCUCUUCCCCAAGCUUGAUUUGAAAGAACAAGUUAAAAACAUGCAGAACUAACAAGCCUAAUUCCAGGCAACUGUGAAUUAAAUGUUAUCACUAAUGUUUUGAAAGAGCACAUGAAAAACAGAAAAACCUUUACACAAGGCUGAGAAUUCUCUGUGGGAAACAUUUCCAAACCACAGAUCCACCCAGACCAAUAACACUGCCCGCGCCUCAUCCCCACCCCCAUUGGAGGACUAGUUUGCAGGCUUUAUCACUGCCUUGUUAACUGUCUUUGCUUGCUGGCAACCCUUUUUGAGAGGGCCAAGAUUUCAGAGUUGAAGAAGAAAAACUGGGUGAAGACUCCCAGUGUAAGGCAUCUAAUAUCCUCCCCCAAAUGCAAAACUGGUUUUAAAAAACAAGCCCAAACAAUUGUCUUGAACAAAUAAAACUCUACUCAGAUGAGCCUGUACUGAGAAUGAUGUUCAGUAAUGAAAACAAAUGGUACGGAAAACCCCCUUGUGGAAUUAAUUAGGCCCUAUUCUAGGAGACCACAGAGGUAUUCUUGGACUGUACAGCAGGCUCCCAAACAUCUCCCCUACACAUCCUAUGGUUACAGUGGCUGGAUGCUGCCCACUCUUCUAGUACGCUGGAUUUGUACGUCUGGAUGUCUGCCAGAAAACCCUUCCUCCAGGGCAUCCCUAACAGAAAUACUAAGGGGCUAUGCAGUGGUCCACAGAUGCUCAACAGAAACUCCCGCACCAAAUCACUUCCAGCUUUGACAUCUCUGCCAAAGUUUUUAUUCAGCCUCUCAGUUAUAUUUCUACCCAACUUUCCACACUGGUAGACAGAAUAAAAAUCUUCACCUACAAUUUGUCCAUCUUUGACACUACCAAGCACGUGUAUCUUAAGUGUUGUUAGAUGUUGAAGACAAACAUUAUUUUGUUAGCCAAGAAGUUGCUAUGUUGGCAAGAAGUCAUCUAGGCUAAGGAGGUCUGUUCAAAAUUGAGGGAAAUCUCUUAAAAUUAUUUCCUUCCAACUUACUGCAGAGAGACUGCAUCUUUGUUCAAGGCAUCACAUCAGUCAGUAAUCUUAUUUCCUCCAAGUUCUAGGCAAAUAGCACGGGGAAAUAAAUGCUUCAUUAUUCCAGGAUGCACAAGGUUCUCCAGAACAAUGCCAUGUCUUACAGGCUACCUGACAGCUAACCCCACCUAUAAGGGGAACCAUCUCAAUUCUAAUACAGAAAAUUCUCAGCAUAUAGGGAAUUAGUUG